AUCUGGGUUGAUCAGGACCGUCGGAUCGGAUUUGGGGGAAUAAAUCCACAAAGCAAGCAUUUCUGAUGGGGGGCAUCGCAUCUUCUCCCGUUCGGCUCCUUCUCACGCGACUGCCGUUUCUUCUCCUUCACCGACGGCCGACGGCCACCUCCACUCAACCAUCGCCGCCGGCCGGACACCAUCUCCUUCCUUCUUCUAUUCACACCGCAGCCAAGGAAUUUUGCCUGUACCGCUCAGUCUUCUCUCUGUUCGCGACGUCCUCUGUGUUCGCGGCAUUUCUUCCUCGCGCGGGCUAGGGUUCGCAACAGAUUCAACAGGCGACUUCAUUCCUCCGAGUUCUGAGUUCGAGCAGCAACAUCUUCUCCAGAUUUGGUCAGCACAGCAGACUUCAAUUCCAGCACUACUUCCUUCAUCCGGACCAGAUUUGUCCAGUCACAGCUCCACCUUUUCUUCCACAGCAGUCUUCAAGUUCGAUUAGCAAUUCUUCAACAGAUCUGGACAGCUUUUGUUUGUUGCAGUUUCUUCACUUGAUUCGAAUUGAUAGUGAUGUUUCUUUUAGUUGAUUGUUUGAUGCUUGUAUUGAGUUGUUCUCCCUUGUUUUAGAUUUGCACGUACUCAUGUCAUUUCGAUUUAUGCUCAUAAGGUGUUCGACAAAAUGUUUCUUCCAACAGUAGGUUUAAAUUCGUGCACUUUAUUUCACUUAAUGUUUGCUUGUCUUAUCUUUUGCAAUUGCUAUAAGUUUUGUUCUUCAUUUGAAUGCAAUUAGGCUAGGGUAGAUUAGCUUUCUUUAAUGCUCUAAGUUACAUUCCAUGCUUAGUUUCAUUACAUGCUUAGUUUCAAUAUCGCUACUAGUAUUUCAUGUUUGGAAAUAGAUUUAAGCGAGAAGUUUGCAGGCUGACGACAUCUUUGCCAUGUGCAAUUCAAUCUUUGUAGGAUCUUGAAGCACAAACAAAGUGAUUGUUUGUGCUUUAUCUAAGUGAUUGUUUGAAGAGUUUUAUAGCAUGCAUCUUGACAAUUAAUAUAAUUUUGAAGAUCACUAUCAAGGAAGAAUGUUCAAAGGAAAGUAAAGGCUAAGGAGAAGAUCACGUAAUUAACUACACGGGUCUAGUGAAAAUACUGAAGAAGUAUGACAAGAGAACAGAAGCACUUAUCAGGCAGCCUUUCAUCGAAAAGGUGCUGCAGUAGCCAUUCUUUACAACUGAUCUCCUAUAUAUACAAACUCGUGAAGGAGUGUGUGGCUAUGCUCGACCACCUCUUCCCCAGCAACCACCUGUCAAUUUCAGCAGAAUGCGACGGACAAAAUGGAGUGCCAAAGCCGACACAAUCAGGUGGGAGGGUUCCGGAGUUGGAGGAGAUUAAAUAUAUGCAGAGCUUAUACAUGAAGAGCACCGUAGCAGCGCUGUGGUCCUUGAAACAGAUUAGGAGCAAAAGUUCAACAGUCAAAACAGAUUAGAAAAUCUCGUGUUAUAUUGUUCUACCUUUGUUUUAAUAGUGUUAUCAUUUUGUUGGUUGCUUAUGAAAUUUUGUUGGUUGCUUAUGAAA